UACGUAGGGGGGCUAGCGUUGUCCGGAAUCAUUGGGCGUAAAGAGCGUGUAGGCGGCCCGGUAAGUCCGCUGUGAAAGUCGGGGGCUCAACCCUCGAAUGCCGGUGGAUACUGUCGGGCUAGAGUGCGGAAGAGGCGAGUGGAAUCCUGGUGUAGCGGUGAAAUUGCGCAGAUAUCAGGAGGAACACCGAUUGCGAAGGCAGCUCGCUGGGACGUAACUGACGCUGAGACGCGAAAGCGUGGGGAGCAAACAGG
rnacentral:rRNA from 1 species